UGAGGGAGGGAGAGAGAAAGUACUGUAAUGUCUGUCCCUGGGCGCUAAGGAAAGAUGAGUAUCAUUGAAUUUGAGUUAUAGAGAAAUGGGUACAGAGGGAUACAAAUCAAACAGUAUGACUGAAAUUAGACAAAAUGCAGUGCAUAGUGGAAUAUAGGUCUGAUACACUGUAAAUCUUUUUUAAGCCAGUAAGCAAUAGCCUGUAAUAGAUUGAGUAAUUAAUUAUGAACUAUAUUUUUUAUAAAUGAGGGCAGAGGGAAGAAAACAGUAGUUUUAGUAGUGAAAUAGACCAACAUAAGCUAGCUGUAUCGUUUUUAUAAAGUCGGCCACUCAGUCAGUCAGUCAGUCAAGCAGGAGAAGAAAAGAAAAGAGACGACAAGAAAUCUGACACACUGACGACUUCACGGCUUAUCGACUCUUUGGACAGACGUGAAUCCGCCGGAAACGAAACCAAAGGCGUGGUGCACUCACUGUGUCUGAACUGUGCUGGGCUGUGCGGAACAAGUAUAGUCCAUCCGUCCAUCCAUCCUUCCACCCACCCAUCCACCGACCACAAACGCCCGUCGCCAGCUGUGCUGCUAGUGUGGAAGGAACGCCGACAAUUAUAGGACAUUCAGAGACAUUGCUCAACCACGCAAUGCGGCCCUGUCAGCCAAUCUUGGCUCACAGCACACGAUUUUGGACUAUCGGAUUAUUAUUACUAUGAACAUUUGACUGAAAUGUGGUUAGUUCGUAUUGAGGCGGAAAAACGCGUCCUAAUCCUUGCUUUUUAAAAUUGUUUUUCUUCUACUAAAAAAACUCAACAAACAAAAAAUUUUUUUUUAAAGAAUUGUUUAGGGAUAAUAAAAUUCUUACCGCAUGACUAACUGGAGCUUGCGAGAGUAAAGAGAUUAACUUGGCUGAGGGAAUUCACACAGUUUUUUUCCCGGAACGAGAUGUGUUAGCGUUCAUUGUGUUGUGUAAAAAAAGAUGUUGGGUUCUCGUGGUACCAAUUAUAACCUUUGGAGACGCUGUGUACAUCUGGGAGUGACAUUACAAUUUCUCUGAAGGACGAUGUCUACAAAAUACAAUCUUUACUCUUAGAGAAGAGCGGGUCUCCAAGGAUGGACAGAAAACACCCCAGCCACGUCUAAAUCAUCUCUGAGGAUACUACGUCUCUAACAGAAUGUAACGAUAAGCAACGUUGUGUGUUUCCUAAUUAAUGGGAAUGUCGAAAUUCUUAUUGAUUGUUUCCGCCACGCCUUUCUAAAACAAGGAUCAGUGUUAUAGCUGGAUUCUCUCAAAAGUGUCACAGGUGUAGUUGAGUGCAAACGCGUAAAAGUGCACAGGACAACAACUGCGUAAGAGAAUUCACCAGGAAGGAGUUACAGAAAGAGCAACAACAAUAUCUGCGUCGAUAAUGAUACGAACUGUGUUAUUGUUGAUGUAGCAGCAACAACAUCUUCAUCAACAACAACAACAACAACAACAAGAAUAACACGACAACAGUAACAGCAAAA